CCUACGGGUGGCAGCAGUGGGGAAUAUUGGGCAAUGGGCGCAAGCCUUACCCAGCAAUACCGCGUGAGUGAAGAAGGUCUUCGGAUUGUAAAGCUCUUUGAUCAGGGACGAACAGAUGACGGUACCUGAAGAACAAGCCCCGGCUAACUACGUGCCAGCAGCCGCGGUAAAACGUAGGGGGCGAGCGUUGUCCGGAAUGACUGGGCGUAAAGGGUGCGUAGGCGGCAUAAUAAGUUAGAAGUGAAAUACCCAGAGCUUAACUCGGGUGCUGCUUCUAAGACUGUUGAGCUUGAGUGCGGGAGAGGUUAAUGGAAUUCCUAGUGUAGCGGUGAAAUGCUUAGAUAUCACGAAGAACUCCGAUUGCGAAGGCAGUUCACUGGACUGCAACUGACACUGAGGCUCGAAAGUGUGGGUAUCAAACAGGAUUAGAUACCCCAGUAGUC
rnacentral:rRNA from 1 species